UGAGAGGAUGAUCAGCCACACUGGNAACUGAGACACGGNUCCAGACUCCUACGGGNAGGCAGCAGUGGGGAAUAUUGCACAAUGGGCGAAAGCCUGAUGCAGCCAUGCCGCGUGUAUGAAGAAGGCCUUCGGGUUGUAAAGUACUUUCAGUAGGGAGGAAGGCGUUGUCGUUAAUAGCGGCUUCGUUUGACGUUACCUACAGAAGAAGCACCGGCUAACUCCGUGCCAGCAGCCGCGGUAAUACGGAGGGUGCGAGCGUUAAUCGGAAUUACUGGGCGUAAAGCGCAUGCAGGUGGUUCAUUAAGUCAGAUGUGAAAGCCCGGGGCUCAACCUCGGAACCGCAUUUGAAACUGGUGAACUAGAGUGCUGUAGAGGGGGGUAGAAUUUCAGGUGUAGCGGUGAAAUGCGUAGAGAUCUGAAGGAAUACCAGUGGCGAAGGCGGCCCCCUGGACAGACACUGACACUCAGAUGCGAAAGCGUGGGGAGCAAACAGGAUUAGAUACCCUGGUAGUCCACGCCGUAAACGAUGUCUACUUGGAGGUUGUGGCCUUGAGCCGUGGCUUUCGGAGCUAACGCGUUAAGUAGACCGCCUGGGGAGUACGGUCGCAAGAUUAAAACUCAAAUGAAUUGACGGGGGCCCGCACAAGCGGUGGAGCAUGUGGUUUAAUUCGAUGCAACGCGAAGAACCUUACCUACUCUUGACAUCCAGAGAAUUCGCUAGAGAUAGCUUAGUGCCUUCGGGAGCUCUGAGACAGGUGCUGCAUGGCUGUCGUCAGCUCGUGUUGUGAAAUGUUGGGUUAAGUCCCGCAACGAGCGCAACCCUUAUCCUUGUUUGCCAGCACGUCAUGGUGGGAACUCCAGGGAGACUGCCGGUGAUAAACCGGAGGAAGGUGGGGACGACGUCAAGUCAUCAUGGCCCUUACGAGUAGGGCUACACACGUGCUACAAUGGCGCAUACAGAGGGCUGCAAACUAGCGAUAGUAAGCGAAUCCCAAAAAGUGCGUCGUAGUCCGGAUCGGAGUCUGCAACUCGACUCCGUGAAGUCGGAAUCGCUAGUAAUCGUAGAUCAGAAUGCUACGGUGAAUACGUUGCCCGGGCCUUGUACACACCGCCCGUCACAUCCGUGGGAGUGGNNUNCAAAAGAAGUGG
rnacentral:rRNA from 1 species